CAGCCGCCACGGUAAUACGAGGGGUCCUAGCGUUGCUCGGGAUCAUUGGGCGUAAAGCGCACGUAGGCGGAUAUUUAAGUCAGGGGUGAAAUCCCAGAGCUCAACUCUGGAACUGCCUUUGAUACUGGGUAUCUUGAGUAUGGAAGAGGUGAGUGGAAUUCCGAGUGUAGAGGUGAAAUUCGUAGAUAUUCGGAGGAACACCAGUGGCGAAGGCGGCUCACUGGUCCAUUACUGACGCUGAGGUGCGAAAGCGUGGGGAGCAAACAGGAUUAGAGACCCCAGUAGUCCCUGUCUCUUAUAU
rnacentral:rRNA from 1 species